UACAUGGGGUGCAAGCGUUGUUCGGAAUUACUGGGCGUAAAGCGCGUGUAGGCGGCUAAGUAAGUCGGGCGUGAAAUCCCACGGCUCAACCGUGGAAGUGCACUCGAAACUGCAUAGCUAGAGUCCUGGAGAGGAAGGUGGAAUGCUUGGUGUAGAGGUGAAAUUCGUAGAUAUCAAGCGGAACACCGGUGGCGAAGGCGGCCUUCUGGACAGUGACUGACGCUGAGGAGCGAAAGCGUGGGGAGCGAACGAG
rnacentral:rRNA from 1 species